UGGGGAAUAUUGGACAAUGGGCGAAAGCCUGAUCCAGCCAUGCCGCGUGUGUGAAGAAGGUCUUCGGAUUGUAAAGCACUUUAAGUUGGGAGGAAGGGCAUUAACCUAAUACGUUAGUGUUUUGACGUUACCGACAGAAUAAGCACCGGCUAACUCUGUGCCAGCAGCCGCGGUAAUACAGAGGGUGCAAGCGUUAAUCGGAAUUACUGGGCGUAAAGCGCGCGUAGGUGGAUUGUUAAGUUGGAUGUGAAAUCCCCGGGCUCAACCUGGGAACUGCAUUCAAAACUGACUGACUAGAGUAUGGUAGAGGGUGGUGGAAUUUCCUGUGUAGCGGUGAAAUGCGUAGAUAUAGGAAGGAACACCAGUGGCGAAGGCGACCACCUGGACUAAUACUGACACUGAGGUGCGAAAGCGUGGGGAGCAAACA
rnacentral:rRNA from 1 species